CCUACGGGAGGCAGCAGUGGGGAAUAUUGCACAAUGGGCGAAAGCCUGAUGCAGCAACGCCGCGUGAGUGAUGAAGGCCUUCGGGUUGUAAAGCUCUGUCUUCAGGGACGAUAAUGACGGUACCUGAGGAGGAAGCCACGGCUAACUACGUGCCAGCAGCCGCGGUAAU
rnacentral:rRNA from 2 species